AUUGAACGCUGGCGGCAUGCCUUACACAUGCAAGUCGAACGGCAGCACGGAGCUUGCUCUGGUGGCGAGUGGCGAACGGGUGAGUAAUAUAUCGGAACGUACCCUAGAGUGGGGGAUAACGUAGCGAAAGUUACGCUAAUACCGCAUACGAUCUAAGGAUGAAAGUGGGGAAUCGCAAGACCUCAUGCUCGUGGAGCGGCCGAUAUCUGAUUAGCUAGUUGGUAGGGUAAAAGCCUACCAAGGCAUCGAUCAGUAGCUGGUCUGAGAGGACGACCAGCCACACUGGAACUGAGACACGGUCCAGACUCCUACGGGAGGCAGCAGUGGGGAAUUUUGGACAAUGGGCGAAAGCCUGAUCCAGCAAUGCCGCGUGAGUGAAGAAGGCCUUCGGGUUGUAAAGCUCUUUUGUCAGGGAAGAAACGGUGAAAGCUAAUAUCUUUUGCUAAUGACGGUACCUGAAGAAUAAGCACCGGCUAACUACGUGCCAGCAGCCGCGGUAAUACGUAGGGUGCAAGCGUUAAUCGGAAUUACUGGGCGUAAAGCGUGCGCAGGCGGUUUUGUAAGUCUGAUGUGAAAUCCCCGGGCUCAACCUGGGAAUUGCAUUGGAGACUGCAAGGCUAGAAUCUGGCAGAGGGGGGUAGAAUUCCACGUGUAGCAGUGAAAUGCGUAGAUAUGUGGAGGAACACCGAUGGCGAAGGCAGCCCCCUGGGUCAAGAUUGACGCUCAUGCACGAAAGCGUGGGGAGCAAACAGGAUUAGAUACCCUGGUAGUCCACGCCCUAAACGAUGUCUACUAGUUGUCGGGUCUUAAUUGACUUGGUAACGCAGCUAACGCGUGAAGUAGACCGCCUGGGGAGUACGGUCGCAAGAUUAAAACUCAAAGGAAUUGACGGGGACCCGCACAAGCGGUGGAUGAUGUGGAUUAAUUCGAUGCAACGCGAAAAACCUUACCUACCCUUGACAUGGCUGGAAUCCUUGAGAGAUCAGGGAGUGCUCGAAAGAGAACCAGUACACAGGUGCUGCAUGGCUGUCGUCAGCUCGUGUCGUGAGAUGUUGGGUUAAGUCCCGCAACGAGCGCAACCCUUGUCAUUAGUUGCUACGAAAGGGCACUCUAAUGAGACUGCCGGUGACAAACCGGAGGAAGGUGGGGAUGACGUCAAGUCCUCAUGGCCCUUAUGGGUAGGGCUUCACACGUCAUACAAUGGUACAUACAGAGCGCCGCCAACCCGCGAGGGGGAGCUAAUCGCAGGAAGUGUAUCGUAGUCCGGAUUGUAGUCUGCAACUCGACUGCAUGAAGUUGGAAUCGCUAGUAAUCGCGGAUCAGCAUGUCGCGGUGAAUACGUUCCCGGGUCU
rnacentral:rRNA from 1 species